rnacentral:rRNA from 1 species
GAUGAACGCUGGCGGCGGGCCUAAUACAUGCAAGUAGAACGCAGUUGCGAACGGGUGAGUGACGCGUAGGUAACCUGCCUUCCAGCGGGGGGAAACUAUCGGCAACGAUUGCUAAUACCGCAUACUUGUAGAUGGACCUGAGUUGUAUUAGCUAGUGGGUGAGGUAAAGGCUCACCAAGGCGACGAGACUUAGCCGACUUGGGAGGGUGGUCGGCCACACUGGGACGGGGAGCCGGCCCAGACACAAACGGGAGGCAGCAGUAGGGGAUCUACGGUAAUGGACGGAAGUCUGACCGAGCAACGCCGCGUGAGUGAAGGAGGGUUUCGGAUCGUAAAGCUCAGUUGUUAGAGAAGCGGUAACUAAACAGAAAGGAACGGCUAACUACGUGCCAGCAGCCGCGGUAAUAC